GUGCUCCGUUCAGCAGCACAUAUAAUAAAAAUGGAACAGCGCAGAAAGUCAACACGACGCCCGUGCAAGGAUGGUGCACAAAUUCAUGAAACGUUUCCUAUUUUU
rnacentral:snRNA from 1 species